rnacentral:lncRNA from 1 species
GAAAAUAUUCAGCCUUGGGAGUAGGCAAUGAUUUCUUAGAACCAAGAAAGCAUAUUUUGUAAGAAAAAAAAUGAAUUUGAAGAACUGGACUUUCUCAAAGUUAUAAACUUUUGCUCUUUGAAGGACACAUUAAGAAUAUAACAAGACCAGGAACCUGAUGUCCAAAGAGACAAGCUUUACCAAGGCCACCAGCAUGCCGAUGAGUUAGACGAGGACGUGGUAUCACCCUGACCCAGCCCAGUGCUCUCCUAGGAGAGGAUCUUGAGAAAUAUUCAGUAACUAAAGCUAACUUCAGGUUGCUGGUCAUCUCCUUUGAAUUAUCAGCAUUAAAUGUAAAACUUAUUCUGCCUGUGUUUGCCGAAAGUCAAAGGCACAAACAAGGUUGGAACGGAGAGAGAAAGCAACCAAAGAAGAUGCUGAAGAUUUCAAUUUCAUCAACUUGGGCAGACUACCAGAGAGCUCUCUCUGAUGUACUAUCAGUGGAUGGUUUGAUCAGGAAAAUAAACUUGUAG